UACAGAGGAGCCAAGCGUUGUCCGGAUUGACUGGGCGUAAAGCGCACGCAGGCGGUCGCGCGCGUGGGGUGUGAAAUCUGGCCGUUUAACGGCCAGGCGCCAUCCCAUACGGCGCGACUGGAGUGAUGCAGAGGUCGAUGGAAUUGCCGGUGUAGUGGUGAAAUGCGUAGAGAUCGGCAGGAACACCCAGGGGGAAACCAGUCGACUGGGCAUCUACUGACGCUGAGGUGCGAGAGCGUGGGGAGCGAACCGG
rnacentral:rRNA from 1 species